UGAAGACAUCGGUUAUAGGACUUCAGCUCCUGCAGUUUCACAGUUUACUCUGUGGCGCACAGACACAGAUGGAGGCAGAUUCAGCAGCUCAUGCUGCUUCUUUGGAAGGGCUAGUCCCUUUUGGAUAACUGACAGUGCUGCCUCUUCCUUAUUGGAGACACCCAACAGGUCCUGCAAUUUCACAGUUGACGCUGUGGUGAUCUGAGAAACAGAUGGAGGCAGCUUCAGUAGCUGACGAUGCCUGUUUGGAAGGGCUAUUCCCUUUUGCAUAACUGACAGUGCUGCCUAUUCCUCAUUGAAGACACCCAACAGGUCCUGCAAUUUCACAGUUGACGCUGUGGUGCUCUGAGAAACAGAUGGAGGCAGCUUCAGUAGCUGACGAUGCCUGUUUGGAAGGGCUAUUCCCUUUUGCAUAACUGACAGUGCUGCCUAUUCCUCAUUGAAGACACCCAACAGG